UCUCGCAUACACAAACGUCUUCUCGCGGUGAGAAGUGGCGAUUUCGGUAUUGUACAAGAGUAAUUUGUCAGUACGAGAAAAAUCGUCUUUCUUUUUAGUGUCCCUUUAAUGACUUUGUUUCGUGUCGGAGCGUACUGCAGUGAUGUGUAAACUACUUUUGUUUACACGCGCAUGUAUAUGAACUUGAACUUGCACCAGUUACUCAUUUCCCUGCUUCACAGAAGCGCCAAGAGUUAAAAAAAAAGUGAAAAUUGUUAAUUUCUCAUCGCGCUGCGUCGAUGCUGCAAGGCAAGGCGACUGCAGUGUUUUGUGAGCGCGGUGCACGUUGACAGUCGUCGAACUACCACCGCAGGACAUAUGCCAGCAGAGGAGUCAGCGUGCCUAUGAUGACGAUGUCCAGCACCGUGGCCGCGCUAUUGUUGGAGCAGUCACACCACCCUUCCGGUUUUCACCAGCAAACGCUGGUCACCGAAGGUCAAUUCCAGACUCGGACUCAUCAUUGAGUAGCAGCUGCUUCCGGACACCGAGCACCGAUUCCUUGUCGCGGUAUAACACGAGUAUUGCCGCAAUCGCGCCACUAGAAAUCAGCGACAGUAUG